rnacentral:rRNA from 1 species
CCUACGGGCGGCAGCAGUGAGGAAUAUUGGUCAAUGGACGAGAGUCUGAACCAGCCAAGUAGCGUGAAGGAUGACUGCCCUAUGGGUUGUAAACUUCUUUUAUAUGGGAAUAAAAUGUUCCACGUGUGGGAUUUUGUAUGUACCAUAUGAAUAAGGAUCGGCUAACUCCGUGCCAGCAGCCGCGGUAAUACGGAGGAUCCGAGCGUUAUCCGGAUUUAUUGGGUUUAAAGGGAGCGUAGGUGGAUUGUUAAGUCAGUUGUGAAAGUUUGCGGCUCAACCGUAAAAUUGCAGUUGAAACUGGCAGUCUUGAGUACAGUAGAGGUGGGCGGAAUUCGUGGUGUAGCGGUGAAAUGCUUAGAUAUCACGAAGAACUCCGAUUGCGAAGGCAGCUCACUGGACAUUAACUGACGCUGAGGCACGAAGGCCAGGGGAGCGAAAGGGAUUAGAUACCCUUGUAGUC